UGUUAAACGUUUCAUCCAUUUAUAUAGUUAAAAACUGAUGUGGUUGAUGGAAUAGCCAAACAAUGAUAGUGGUGUGCCAUGUUUACCUCAUGCUAACGUAUUUAACAAUGGGAAUUGAUGGAAUUGUUAAUA
rnacentral:pre_miRNA from 1 species